UUUUAUUGACUGCGUGCAUAUAUGCUAUGUAUUAUCAGUAUUCAGUCACUAUAUAUCCACUUAUCCAGAGAGCGAAAGAGAGAAUGAGAUCUGAAAAGAUCUGGAACGCCAUGGAAGUUGCAGGGGAAGCUCGUGAGAACUGUAACACGGAGAUUCAUUAUUCUUCUCUUACCGUCGACCACACUCUCGCUCUUCAUCAAAUGAAACCUCACAUCGUGUAAGUUCUCAUUUCUGUCUAAAAUUAUUUCCUCAUCUCUUUCGCUAAUGAGUUUAUUCGUUUCAUGCUAAGUGAUACUCAUGCUUUUUAGGCGGCUAAUCUAGGACCUUCCCGAAAAUCUUAUUUCCGAUCUAUUCAUAGCAAAGUCCGGUGGCUUUAGAUCGUGUGGGGGCUUAUUUGUGAAGAUUAGUAUGGGGGUUUGCUUGGGGAUAUUUGGGGUUUCAGAUCUUGGUGUUUGGGAAUGGGUUUAUGGAAGAGGGAUUCGUUCGGUUCGUUCAGAUCUGGUUUUGUUUAUUCCUGUUCAUUUUCUCCAUAAACCAAAUCUUGAACUGCUUCUUUUAAUGUUCAGAUUUGGAGUUUCAUUACUGGUUGUCUGGUUCUGUGUUUGAAAUAUAUUUUAUCUAAUCGAUUUUGUAAUCUGUUCAUGGUUCCAUCUCAGUUUGAUUUGGACUUUAAUGUUGAUUUAUUUUUUAAAUUUGGCUAAUUUGGUAUUCUAUUUUGUUGGGGAAAAAUCUAUUUUAGUUUUAUUUUGUUUACUUUGCUCGGAUAUUGGAUGUCUUGCUAGUUAUUAUCUUUUGGGGAUGAUUUGGUCUCCUCCUCUGUCAAUUGUCGGUGUUUAAUUAGCUGAAUUCCGGUGUCUGGUUGGAUCCGUGUUACUCUUGUUAUGUUUGCCUGCGUUCAUGGUGUUCGACGACCUUUCGUUGCAGCUGUACUUGAUUGUUCAUGGUGUCUGGUUUUAUGUUGGUAGUAAUCGAUUGUUUAUUUACAAGUUUUUUUAAAAAAAAUAAUGAAAAAGCCCGCGGGCCGGGCCGGACAGGCCCAACCCGGGCUACGGGCCGCUUAAUUUAAGCCCAUCAAAACCCGGGCCAUUUUAGCCCGGCCCGUCAAUAGCCCGGCCCACCGAUGGCCCGGCCCGUUUGCCAGGUCUAAGUCAAACAGAAGGACUUUGUUCCCUGUUAUGUGCCUUGAGCAUCCACUGUCCAGAUACCAGGUUGUGAUCGUGGAGCUCUUUCUCUAUAAUAACAUUAAACCUUCAUUUUGGUACUCAUACUUGCAUGGGUCCUACAUUGUUAGUGCCCUUGGGGACCCAAAUUUGCUUGAUUUUGGGUCUCACAUGCAUGGAAUUGUAAUAACAUUUUGCAGCCUUGUGGCCAGUUCUGUAGCACACAAAACAUUUGAUAUGAUGCAUGUUUGUGUGUGUGUGUGUGAAAGUUCUUCCUCCACUUGGACUUUUGUGGGUUGUUGGUCAUCCUCCUGUUAAGCUGAUAUUCCUUCUUCCAUGUGUUCUUAGGUUUCAUGAUUUGUGAGGAGUAUACCUUGCCUUUACCGUACCUUCCCAGUUGGUUCGUAGAGUUGAUCUUACUGGACUCUACGACCCUUCGAGGUUGGUGAGUAGCAGCUAGGUUACUCUUUUCUUUUCUGAAACCCAGAUCGGCAUGAGAUCCCUUGCUCCUGGGAAUAUGAAUUGAAUCAGCUGAGCAGGGUUUGACAGGUUCAACCUUCUGUAAGGAUUUCACAAAUAUAAUACCUCUACUAAAACCUGAGGCAUUAUUAGUGUUAAUUUCCUUUGCUUUUUCCACACAUGACUCUGAGGUAGAUUCCCCAAAGCCUAGCCCCGUUCUAUUAGAGAUGCUUCUCUGGUUAGAGAUUAAGGAGUCCAUGGAUGAAGAGGAUUUAUUCCAUGUAGAGAUUAUCUUUUCUAGAUCAUCAAUCUUAGAGGUUAGACUUGACUCUCUUUUUGUACUAAGCUCAUUUGUUUGUCUCAAGAGCUUAUUCUCAGCUUCAAACUUGGAGAAAGAAUUAGUAUUAAGAAGGGUUGUUUCCAGUUCUUCUUGAACCUUUUUUUUCUCCUUUUGAAGAAGUGAAUAAUCCUUAGACAGAACUCUAAACCACUUCAUGUAUUGAUGCAGAUCAGAUGUUGUACUAUGCAGUGCAGUUCUUAGGUCAUCAAUAUCUACAUUAGGAGAGUUGAAGUCAAAUACCUCAUCGAUACUUACUUCAUGUAUGUUGGAGUUCUGUUUAUCCCUUGCAUUUUUGGCCAUAAGGCAGAGAUUUGCCACUUGAGGAUCUUCAUCAUCUCUAGAUUCUGGAGUUGAGUAAUUGUCUGAGUCACUCCACGAUCCUCCAGCUACAAGGCCUUUGUCUUUCUUCUAUGGCCUUUUGUUGCCUUUGUAUUCCUUCUUAGAAUGUGGUUUCUUUUUGAGUUCUUCUCUGAGAGGUUUGCUGCAAUUGGCAAUGAAGUGGCCCGAUUUCUUGCAAUUGUAGCAUAGGUCAUUCAUUUGCUCCUAGCUGUUGUAGUUGCUGACUUUCUUUGGCUUGCUGGUUUUGCCUUGUCGCAUGAACCUUCUUAGUCUUUUCACAAGCAUUGCAAGGUCCUCAUCAUCAUCUUCAUCGUAGUCAGAAUCAACUUUAGUGCUGACUUUGGAGGUGUUAUCAGUUGCUUUGAGAGCAACACCUUUAUCCUUCUUUUUUCCUUCAAACAGGGUUUUUGCUCGUUGAGACAGCUCCAGUUCGUAUGUGAGAAGGUUGCCAUACAACUGUUGGAUAGUCAUUUUAUGUAAAUUCUUCGAUUCUCUAAUUACAAUGGUUUUGGCAUCCCACUUGCUUGGCAAGGCUCUCAUGAACUUUAUGAUUAGAUCUUUGUUUGGAUAGAUCUUUCCGUAGGCUCGUAGAGAGUUGAGCAGAACAUUAAAUCUUUCGUAGGUGGCAGUAACGUUCUCUCCUUGAAUGUGAGAAAAUAUCUCAUAUUGUUGAGUCAAGAGAGAUUGUUUGUUUUCUCUGACUUCUUCUGUUCCUUCAUGCAUAAUGAGUAGUGCUUCCCAAACCUCCUUUGCUGUUUUGCUAUUGACCAUGUUUUCAAACAGAUCAUCUUCUAAGGAUUGGAACAAGAUGUUUUUGGCCUUUUUAUCGAGUUGGACAGCUCUCUGUCCAUUCUCCUUUGACCUUGAUCUGUACUCUGUCUGGGUCAUCUAUAGUUGGUGCAAGCUUUGUAGGAACAUAGGGCCCAUUCUGAACAGUUUCAAAUAGAUCUUCAUAUAUUGAAUCCAUGUAAGCUUGCAUCCUAACCUUCCAGUUAGAAAAUUUAUCUUUGUUGCACAUAGGUGGCUUGCUGCCUCCUCCAGUCUUUAAUUCGCUUGGUAAGUGUGCCAUUGGAUCUACUCAAGCUUUGUAGGCUAUAUUAUAGAACCUGCUCUGAUACCAAUUGUUAGUUCCCGAAGGCACAAUAGAUAUCUAGAAAGGGGGGUUGAAUAGAUAAUUAAAAACUUUUCUUUUAAACUAGUUAGUAUGAUUGUGAUUAAUGCACAUCGGAAUGAGAAUAUGAUAAACCUUCUUUUAAGAUAUCUUGAAUUAAUGAGAGUGAGGCAGUUAUGACAGUUAUAGCAGUUAUAAUGGACACAGUAGUUUUAAGUGGUUUAGAGCACUUAAAGCUCCUAAUCCACUCUUCUACUCCUUGAGUAGGAAAUCCACUAAGGAUGUCUGUUACACUUCUUGAAUCUCACAGAUUCCUUCUAGACCAGCAGUCUAGGCACUUCUUAGCUCACUCUUGAACUCUUCAAGUCCAGCAGACUUGGUUCUUCACAGUUCACUUAGAACUCUUUAAGUCCUUCAGACUUGGAAUUCUCACUUUAGUUGAUUAGUUGUUGUUGAUAUCGUGAUUAGUGUUAUUCAGUUGAUAUUAAGCACUUAUUUGAAAGAACUGAGUAGCUGAGCAAGCUUUCUCUUUUUCUCAGAUCGUAGAGUUGAACGUUGAGUGUUCUUGUACAUUUUUGUUCAAAUACUUGCUUAUCUAUCUCAUCUGUCUAUGUUCUGUAUAUAUGUGAUCUCUUUAAAUCUAUUAGUUGAAGUCAUCUGAUGAGCCAUUAAAUUCGUUUGAUAUUUCUAAGCUUUGAUGGAGACUUUUCUGCACAUCUUCUGAUUGCAAUCUGGCCCACUAACACAGCAGACUGCUUUCUCACCUAACACCUGAAAAGGUGUUUUCCUCUGCCCGAUGGUCCUUUUCUUAGCUUCUUGAAUACGUUUCUUUUGAUCAAUACUAAGGAUAUCUUUUGUACCGUUGGGACUGGUGAGGGCUUCAACGUUCAAAACCCAUUCCAUACUUGUUGGAAUUUGUUUCCAAACAAAAGAUAGGGCUCGAUGCUUCUGACACAAGACAGAUGAUACUCUACGAUGCAUAUCGUGGUGUCUUGUCAUAUUUGUGCUUGGUCUAAAUAGAACACUACAAUUUCUUUCAAUAGUUUUGCACACUACGAUCUUCACUUGCUCGUUUUUGCAGACUCUAUGCUUCUGAGAGCACACUACGAUCUCUGCUUGCUCGUCUUGCAGACUCUACAUUUUCGAAAGCACACUACGAUCUCAGAGUUAGCAUUGGCAAAUGUCUGAACCACUCUACGAUUACUGGAGAGGCCCUUUAAGGCAAAUAUACUACGGUCAUCUCAACACUACGAUCCUGCCUUAGCUUCUGCAUUCUGUUGAUCAACCGAAUAGACUACGAUUCUCUUCAAGGCCUAUCUAUUUCUUUCUAGCCAUAGAUCAACCUAACAUAUUUGAUCUCUUUAUCUAUACAAGUGAACAUUAAAGGCUAAGAUCAACCUAACAUUUUUGAUCUAUCACUAAGUCCUUGUACAUAUAUUCCUCGAAGGACUUUACACAUAAUCAUGAGCAUUUACAUUAAACAUCAAAUCACAAAAUGCAUUCUUCCAAUAUGUUGGAAUAACCUGUCUAUGCGAAGUACCGCAUACAUGGUGAAAUUCUUCUGUUAUUCCAUUCUUUAUUAUUCUGUUGGAAUAUCCUGUCUGUGCAGAUUACGCUAGACCUGGUUCCAUUCUUUAUUAUUCUGUUGGAAUAACCUGUCUGUGCGGUCUAUCGCAUGCAUGGUGAAUUCUUUGUUAUUCCAUUAUGUAUUAUUCUGUUGGAAUAUCCUGUCUGUGCUGAUUACGCUAGACCUAGUUCCAUUAUUUAUUAUUCUGUUGGAAGAACCUGUCUGUGCGGUCUAUCGCAUGCAUGGUGAAUUCUUUGUUAUUCCAUUAUGUAUUAUUCUGUUAGAAUAUCCUAUCUGUACGGACUACGCUAGACCUAGUUCCAUUCUUUAUUAUUCUGUUGGAAUAUCCUGUUUGUACGGAUUACGCAUGACCUGGUUCCAUUCUUUUUAUUCUGUUGGAAUAACAUGUCUAUGUGGAUUAUCACAUGCAUAGUGAAUGAUCCUUUGUAUUCAUUCCUUAUUAAAUUGUGGAAAUGAUCCGUCUACGUGGAUUACCGCAUGGCGGGUGAAAAUCCAUUUGCAGUUUCAUAUAUUCUAUGAUACUCAUUUGGUUAAAGUUUUGGCUUCUAUACUCCAUGAAAUUAGUAGAAUAUCCUGGAUAUUUGCGCUUCAUCCGGUAUCUUUUCAUGGAAAUAUUCUUCUGAGCAUUCUUGAAUUUUACUCCACAAAGCAGUAUCAUGUUGACAAUUUGGACGUAAUUGAUUUCAAGAUAAAUUAACUUAUAAAUCUUUAAAAUUUAUUCUUGAACUUGUUUUAUUGAAUUAUUAUGUCAUUGUCAUCAUCCUCAUGCUUAUAUUGUGAUGAAAGUCAUCUUUGGCUUACGUGCAUAGAUGGACUUGGUAUGAUUAUGACCAGGGAUUAUUCGGUAUAAUCAUGACCUGUAAUGUUAUAAAUGAUGUGGUAAAAGUCCUCAAUAGUCUGUACUGCAUUGAUGGACAAUUUUUGGUACGAUUAUGACCAGGGAUUAUUCGGUAUAGUCAUGACCAUUGAUGAUUUAAUGAAUAUCCUUGGCCCGUAGUGCAGGGAUGACUCGAUGAUGUGGUUUAUUUAUUAAGCUGAGUCUCAGCGAUAAAAAUUGAUGAAAACAUUUUAAAUCAUAGAAGAUAGUAGAUAUCAUGCUCUACUUGACUCUUCUAAUGGAUUGCUUAUUCCGCUGCAGUUAAACUUGAUGUCUAUUGUAUUUUAUCAGUUUAACAUUGUUGAAGACUAAUGAUAAUUUAUUCUGCAUUAUCUUAGUCAUAAUAUUUCUUACUGGGCUAGUUGAGCUCACCCUUUCUUUCACUGUUCUCUUCAGGAAAUGAGAACGUAGCCGGGACUAGUCGGGGAACGGAGUGACGGUCCAGAUGAU
rnacentral:lncRNA from 1 species